GCAGAAGAGAAUCCGCUGGAAGUCAAUUCCAGCCUGCGAACACUAUUCGAAAAAUUGAUUCCCUUUCAGCGUCAGCGCCAGAAGAAAAUACGAAAGGUGAAUUUUGGAUUGAUGUUUUUCGGAGAAGGAGCUUGCAAGAAGUUGAUUGGAGACCACAGUUUCAGACUCAACAUAUUUCUCGGCCGUUAGCGGAGCCCGUAGACCAUGACAAACAAGUUGGCAAACACAUGAACUCGUGUGUUACAAUCGGUUCGAAAACAUACCGCCGUCUAGCUAUUCGGUGAAACCGGCUGAGAUUCCUGAUUAUUAUAAUUAUAUCAAAUACCCGAUGGAUUUAAAAACGAUGGGGGAAGGACUGAAAAAUAGGCGAGCUUGACAGUAAAAAAUUGUCUAUAUUUUUCCAUUCAUUGCCGCUUGAUACUCAUUCUAGAUAUUACGUAGCAUGAAGAUUGUUCGUGGCAGAUAUUGCGCGUAUUUUCUGAACUGUCGAUCACCAGAAUCUGAAUAUUAUCGGUGCGGGAACACGCGUUACUAUCACACCAAGAUGAUAGAGAUCUGCCUUUGGGAUAAAUGAUGUUGGCUACUCCCAUCCGUGGCUCCGAUGGCUACACCUACCGAUUCAUGUGCAAGCUGAUGCAAAAGACCUGCGAACUUCGUGUUGUUUUGAUAUUGCCGAGGAACUGCUAAGAUUCUUACAUACUAUGUUUGUGGAUCGAACAACAAACUCUACCGGAAUGAGUGCCACAUGAGGAAAGAGAAUUGUGGUUAGCGCAUGUUCGUAGUGCCGAUGCAGUAUUGUCCGGCCACAUUCUUC